GAGCCCGUGGCUCAAUGGUAGAGCGUUUGACUCAAAUACUAAAAUUCGCGGGUUCGAAUCCCUGUUGUGCCA
rfam:Schistocephalus solidus strain NST_G2 genome assembly, scaffold: SSLN_scaffold0021857